rnacentral:rRNA from 1 species
UUCCGGUUGAUCCUGCCGGACCCGACUGCUAUCAGAGUGAGAUUAAGCCAUGCGAGUUAACGUAGCAAUACGUGGCGCACGGCUCAGUAACACGUAGUCAACAUGCCCAGAGGACGUGGAUAACCUCGGGAAACUGAGUCUAAACCGCGAUAAGUGAGGAUUUCUGGAAUGGUUCCUGACUAAAAUCUAUAUGGCCUCUGGAUUGGACUGCGGCCGAUCAGGCUGUUGGUGAGGUAAUGGCCCACCAAACCUGUAACCGGUACGGGCUCUGAGAGGAGGAGCCCGGAGAUGGGCACUGAGACAAGGGCCCAGGCCCUAUGGGGCGCAGCAGGCGCGAAACCUCUGCAAUAGGCGAAAGCCUGACAGGGUUACUCUGUGUGACUUUCGCUAAGAAAGUCUUUUGGCACCUCUAAAAAGGGUGCAGAAUAAGGGGUGGGCAAGUCUGGUGUCAGCCGCCGCGGUAAUACCAGCACCCCGAGUGGUCGGGACGAUUAUUGGGCCUAAAGCAUCCGUAGCCGGUUCUGCAAGUCCCCCGUUAAAUCCAGCUGCUCAACAGAUGGGCCGCGGAGGAUACUACAGAGCUAGGAGGCAGGAGAGGCAAGCGGUACUCAGUGGGUAGGGGUAAAAUCCGUUGAUCCAUUGAAGACCACCAGUGGCGAAGGCGGCUUGCCAGAAUGCGCUCGACGGUGAGGGAUGAAAGCUGGGGGAGCAAACCGGAUUAGAUACCCGGGUAGUCCCAG